rnacentral:rRNA from 1 species
UUCGACACACUAUCAUUAACUGAAUCCAUAGGUUAAUGAGGCGAACCGGGGGAACUGAAACAUCUAAGUACCCCGAGGAAAAGAAAUCAACCGAGAUUCCCCCAGUAGCGGCGAGCGAACGGGGAGCAGCCCAGAGCCUGAAUCAGUGUGUGUGUUAGUGGAAGCGUCUGGAAAGGCGCGCGAUACAGGGUGACAGCCCCGUACACAAAAAUGCACAUAUUGUGAGCUCGAUGAGUAGGGCGGGACACGUGGUAUCCUGUCUGAAUAUGGGGGGACCAUCCUCCAAGGCUAAAUACUCCUGACUGACCGAUAGUGAACCAGUACCGUGAGGGAAAGGCGAAAAGAACCCCGGCGAGGGGAGUGAAAAAGAACCUGAAACCGUGUACGUACAAGCAGUGGGAGCACGCUUCGGCGUGUGACUGCGUACCUUUUGUAUAAUGGGUCAGCGACUUAUAUUCUGUAGCAAGGUUAACCGAAUAGGGGAGCCGAAGGGAAACCGAGUCUUAACUGGGCGUUAAGUUGCAGGGUAUAGACCCGAAACCCGGUGAUCUAGCCAUGGGCAGGUUGAAGGUUGGGUAACACUAACUGGAGGACCGAACCGACUAAUGUUGAAAAAUUAGCGGAUGACUUGUGGCUGGGGGUGAAAGGCCAAUCAAACCGGGAGAUAGCUGGUUCUCCCCGAAAGCUAUUUAGGUAGCGCCUCGUGAAUUCAUCUCCGGGGGUAGAGCACUGUUUCGGCAAGGGGGUCAUCCCGACUUACCAACCCGAUGCAAACUGCGAAUACCGGAGAAUGUUAUCACGGGAGACACACGGCGGGUGCUAACGUCCGUCGUGAAGAGGGAAACAACCCAGACCGCCAGCUAAGGUCCCAAAGUCAUGGUUAAGUGGGAAACGAUGUGGGAAGGCCCAGACAGCCAGGAUGUUGGCUUAGAAGCAGCCAUCAUUUAAAGAAAGCGUAAUAGCUCACUGGUCGAGUCGGCCUGCGCGGAAGAUGUAACGGGGCUAAACCAUGCACCGAAGCUGCGGCAGCGACACUAUGUGUUGUUGGGUAGGGGAGCGUUCUGUAAGCCUGUGAAGGUGUACUGUGAGGUAUGCUGGAGGUAUCAGAAGUGCGAAUGCUGACAUAAGUAACGAUAAAGCGGGUGAAAAGCCCGCUCGCCGGAAGACCAAGGGUUCCUGUCCAACGUUAAUCGGGGCAGGGUGAGUCGACCCCUAAGGCGAGGCCGAAAGGCGUAGUCGAUGGGAAACAGGUUAAUAUUCCUGUACUUGGUGUUACUGCGAAGGGGGGACGGAGAAGGCUAUGUUGGCCGGGCGACGGUUGUCCCGGUUUAAGCGUGUAGGCUGGUUUUCCAGGCAAAUCCGGAAAAUCAAGGCUGAGGCGUGAUGACGAGGCACUACGGUGCUGAAGCAACAAAUGCCCUGCUUCCAGGAAAAGCCUCUAAGCAUCAGGUAACAUCAAAUCGUACCCCAAACCGACACAGGUGGUCAGGUAGAGAAUACCAAGGCGCUUGAGAGAACUCGGGUGAAGGAACUAGGCAAAAUGGUGCCGUAACUUCGGGAGAAGGCACGCUGAUAUGUAGGUGAAGCGACUUGCUCGUGGAGCUGAAAUCAGUCGAAGAUACCAGCUGGCUGCAACUGUUUAUUAAAAACACAGCACUGUGCAAACACGAAAGUGGACGUAUACGGUGUGACGCCUGCCCGGUGCCGGAAGGUUAAUUGAUGGGGUCAGCGCAAGCGAAGCUCUUGAUCGAAGCCCCGGUAAACGGCGGCCGUAACUAUAACGGUCCUAAGGUAGCGAAAUUCCUUGUCGGGUAAGUUCCGACCUGCACGAAUGGCGUAAUGA